UGAGUGGCGGACGGGUGAGUAACGCGUGGGCAACCUGGCCUGUACAGGGGAAUAACACUUAGAAAUAGGUGCUAAUACCGCAUAACGGGGGAAGCCGCAUGGCUUUUCCCUGAAAACUCCGGUGGUACAGGAUGGGCCCGCGUCUGAUUAGCCAGUUGGCAGGGUAACGGCCUACCAAAGCGACGAUCAGUAGCCGGCCUGAGAGGGCGGACGGCCACACUGGGACUGAGACACGGCCCAGACUCCUACGGAAGGCAGCAG
rnacentral:rRNA from 1 species